GUUGUUUUUAGCACCUGAUACAUAGCUCACACCUCUCAUUCUCUCGUCAGCCUUGAUAAUUAGACAGUCAGCUUAACAUUAAGCAGAGACUUUUCCUUUAUUCUUGCCCCUCUACAAUGGCCCUCACUCCACCUCACCCCUGCACCCCAGCUGAGACAUCCUAGGUAUACCUGUUCCUUUUCCUCUAUGAAGAACCCGAGAGACGUGGAAGCCAGAACCAAGGUCUAGCCUUGGAGUCCAUCUGUUCUCCGAUCCCAUCUCUGUUCCUCCUCUCGCCUACCUGAAGAAGCUGUGGCCACAGAGAGAGCCCUGCCUGUGUCCACUGGGCAGACAAGUCCAUGAUGCACUCUCCAUACCCUGUUUAACUAGCUUUAGCCAUCUCCUCUAAAGCAUGGUGGCCCACUGCCCAUGUCAAGCUGCAGGCUGGGCCGUGCAUCUCUUCCUCCUGGCUGUAAGCAGCACAAAGAGGCCUCCUUGAGCUGACUGACAAUCCUGAAGGUGCUGGUGUUGAAGAUGUUGCUGCCAUAGCUGACUCCUCAGUGCUGGCAUGACAUAUGUGCCCUGCCAUGCCCUACCUAUGUGCUAGAGGUACAGGUGUGCCACCAUGCCCUGGGUUGCUGGCACAUCUUU